rnacentral:sRNA from 1 species
CAGGACACAAAUGGACACGUCAAAUCUCUCAGCAAGGUCUUGCCGAUUCUGUCUGAUGCGCCCACUUCGGACGCUCCUGAGAUCGUCAGAAAUGAGGAGGAAGUCGUUGGCUGUGUCGGCAUCCAAGGUCAUAUCCACUGUGAAAAGGAAAAAAGUUGCUCAGCAAAUGGACAGAAGCCAACCCCAUGCCUCUCCCCUACUUCCAAGGCCCAAAUAUCUCUUGACUUUGGUUUCUUUAAUUCUCUUCUUCCCCCAAAAUCAAAACGUUUCAAGAGGCAACUUCCCUGACUAGUUCAAAUUCUCAUAGGUAGGUAUGCUUUGUGGCAAUACCCGACUCUUAUU